GUUAUAUGGUCAAGUGAAGAAGCGCAUACGGUGGAUGCCUUGGCAGUCAGAGGCGAUGAAAGACGUGGUAGCCUGCGAAAAGCUUCGGGGAGUCGGCAAACAGACUGUGAUCCGGAGAUGUCUGAAUGGGGGAACCCAGCCAUCAUAAGAUGGUUAUCUUACACUGAAUACAUAGGUGUAAGAGGCGAACCAGGGGAACUGAAACAUCUAAGUACCCUGAGGAAAAGAAAUCAACCGAGAUUCCCUUAGUAGUGGCGAGCGAACGGGGACCAGCCCUUAAGUUGUAUUGAGAUUAGCGGAACGCUCUGGAAAGGGCGGCCAUAGUGGGUGAUAGCCCUGUACGCGAAAAUCCCUUUGCAAUGAAAUCGAGUAGGACGGGGCACGAGAAACCUUGUCUGAAUAUGGGGGGACCAUCCUCCAAGGCUAAAUACUACUGACUGACCGAUAGUGAACCAGUACCGUGAGGGAAAGGCGAAAAGAACCGCGGAGAGCGGAGUGAAAUAGAUCCUGAAACCGUAUGCGUACAAGCAGUGGGAGCCCACUUUGUUGGGUGACUGCGUACCUUUUGUAUAAUGGGUCAGCGACUUAUUUUCAGUGGCGAGCUUAACCGAAUAGGGGAGGCGUAGCGAAAGCGAGUCUUAAUAGGGCGUCUAGUCGCUGGGAAUAGACCCGAAACCGGGCGAUCUAUCCAUGGGCAGGUUGAAGGUUGGGUAACACUAACUGGAGGACCGAACCGACUACCGUUGAAAAGUUAGCGGAUGACCUGUGGAUCGGAGUGAAAGGCUAAUCAAGCUCGGAGAUAGCUGGUUCUCCUCGAAAGCUAUUUAGGUAGCGCCUCAUGUAUCACUGUAGGGGGUAGAGCACUGUUUCGGCUAGGGGGUCAUCCCGACUUACCAAACCGAUGCAAACUCCGAAUACCUACAAGUGCCGAGCAUGGGAGACACACGGCGGGUGCUAACGUCCGUCGUGAAAAGGGAAACAACCCAGACCGUCAGCUAAGGUCCCAAAGUCAUGGUUAAGUGGGAAACGAUGUGGGAAGGCUUAGACAGCUAGGAGGUUGGCUUAGAAGCAGCCACCCUUUAAAGAAAGCGUAAUAGCUCACUAGUCGAGUCGGCCUGCGCGGAAGAUGUAACGGGGCUCAAACCAUGCACCGAAGCUACGGGUAUCAUCUUUUGAUGAUGCGGUAGAGGAGCGUUCUGUAAGCCUGUGAAGGUGAGUUGAGAAGCUUGCUGGAGGUAUCAGAAGUGCGAAUGCUGACAUGAGUAACGACAAUGGGUGUGAAAAACACCCACGCCGAAAGACCAAGGUUUCCUGCGCAACGUUAAUCGACGCAGGGUUAGUCGGUCCCUAAGGCGAGGCUGAAAAGCGUAGUCGAUGGAAAACAGGUUAAUAUUCCUGUACUUCUGGUUAUUGCGAUGGAGGGACGGAGAAGGCUAGGCCAGCCUGGCGUUGGUAGUCCAGGUUUAAGGUGGUAGGCUGAGAUCUUAGGUAAAUCCGGGAUCUUAAGGCCGAGAGCUGAUGACGAGUGUUCUUUUAGAACAUGAAGUGGUUGAUGCCAUGCUUCCAAGAAAAGCUUCUAAGCUUCAGGUAACCAGGAACCGUACCCCAAACCGACACAGGUGGUUGGGUAGAGAAUACCAAGGCGCUUGAGAGAACUCGGGUGAAGGAACUAGGCAAAAUGGCACCGUAACUUCGGGAGAAGGUGCGCCGGUGAGGGUGAAGCAUUUACUGCGUAAGCCCACGCCGGUCGAAGAUACCAGGCCGCUGCGACUGUUUAUUAAAAACACAGCACUCUGCAAACACGAAAGUGGACGUAUAGGGUGUGACGCCUGCCCGGUGCCGGAAGGUUAAUUGAUGGGGUUAGCGCAAGCGAAGCUCUUGAUCGAAGCCCCGGUAAACGGCGGCCGUAACUAUAACGGUCCUAAGGUAGCGAAAUUCCUUGUCGGGUAAGUUCCGACCUGCACGAAUGGCGUAACGAUGGCGGCGCUGUCUCCACCCGAGACUCAGUGAAAUUGAAAUCGCUGUGAAGAUGCAGUGUAUCCGCGGCUAGACGGAAAGACCCCGUGAACCUUUACUAUAGCUUUGCACUGGACUUUGAAUUUGCUUGUGUAGGAUAGGUGGGAGGCUUUGAAGCGUGGACGCCAGUCUGCGUGGAGCCAACCUUGAAAUACCACCCUGGCAACUUUGAGGUUCUAACUCAGGUCCGUUAUCCGGAUCGAGGACAGUGUAUGGUGGGUAGUUUGACUGGGGCGGUCUCCUCCUAAAGAGUAACGGAGGAGUACGAAGGUGCGCUCAGACCGGUCGGAAAUCGGUCGUAGAGUAUAAAGGCAAAAGCGCGCUUGACUGCGAGACAGACACGUCGAGCAGGUACGAAAGUAGGUCUUAGUGAUCCGGUGGUUCUGUAUGGAAGGGCCAUCGCUCAACGGAUAAAAGGUACUCCGGGGAUAACAGGCUGAUACCGCCCAAGAGUUCAUAUCGACGGCGGUGUUUGGCACCUCGAUGUCGGCUCAUCACAUCCUGGGGCUGAAGCCGGUCCCAAGGGUAUGGCUGUUCGCCAUUUAAAGUGGUACGCGAGCUGGGUUUAGAACGUCGUGAGACAGUUCGGUCCCUAUCUGCCGUGGACGUUUGAGAUUUGAGAGGGGCUGCUCCUAGUACGAGAGGACCGGAGUGGACGAACCUCUGGUGUUCCGGUUGUCACGCCAGUGGCAUUGCCGGGUAGCUAUGUUCGGAAAAGAUAACCGCUGAAAGCAUCUAAGCGGGAAACUUGCCUCAAGAUGAGAUCUCACUGGAACCUUGAGUUCCCUGAAGGGCCGUCGAAGACUACGACGUUGAUAGGUUGGGUGUGUAAGCGCUGUGAGGCGUUGAGCUAACCAAUACUAAUUGCCCGUGAGGCUUGACCAUAUAACACCCAAGCAAUU
rnacentral:rRNA from 1 species